GCAUUGUAGAUGAGGGUGCUGGGAAGGCUUCUCCAUCAGCUUGGAUGAAUAAAGUUUUGAAGCCCUUGGAGCCUCCUGCAGAUGUGUCUACAGGGAAGACUUCUCCAGCUUCUCCAGCUGCUACCUUGGAUGCUGCACUCAAGCCCAGCUCCCAUCUCAGGGGUACUCCAACAGGGAAAAUCCAAGAUACAACAGAUAAGAUAUCCCUGGAACCAUCCAAACAGAUGAGGCAAGAGCUGAAGGAACCCCUGCAGACAAGAGAAG